GACUCUCGGCAACGGAUAUCUCGGCUCACGCAUCGAUGAAGAACGUAGCAAAAUGCGAUACUUGGUGUGAAUUGCAGAAUCCCGUGAACCAUCGAGUUUUUGAACGCAAGUUGCGCCCAAAGCCUUUCGGUUGAGGGCACGUCUGCCUGGGUGUCACAU
rnacentral:rRNA from 2 species